AAUCGUGUACCAUUGAAAUGUAUGGGGGUUACUCAUCUUACUAUAAUGCAGCAUACUCUUUAAGGGAUUUGUCUUACUAUGCAGGUUAGGCCUAUACAGCCGGUCUUUAUCUAAUCUGCUCUUGCGUUCCAUCUCUCUCAAUUUAAACUUCGCUUGUACAAGGCUCGAUCAUUUCUCGGCUUUCUUUAUCGCUAUCGUUUUCCGGCCGCUACAAUGCGGAACAUAUUAAACAAUAAACUGUAAACUAAACACUAAACUCAACAGCUAGUAAAAAGCUUACUAUCUUAACAGGUAUGAUUGGUACUAGAUUGUUACGAAAUAUUUCAGUUUAUGCUGUGUAAACUACGUGAAGCCUUUUAUCAGGUCGCCGUAGAGCUACCAAAUAUUUCAGACGGCUGGCUGAGUUGUUGCCAGGCCCCAAAGAAUGCGCAGAGUCCAGAGUCAAGGUAAAAAUUGAGCCCAUUGCGGAUGCGAUAAGGAUAGCACAACAUGGAACCGUGUGUGCGUAGGCCAACAAGCCGCGAUAGUGAGGGUACCUGACGUCAUAAAUAAACGGAGCCUUAUCGGUUGGUAAUAAUUUUUGCUUUAUUUAAAAACGUCACUACAAAGUUUACUUGGUUGCAUCAUGAUUAAAUGGUUAAUAUUUGAUUCAGAUAACACGCAAGUCUGUACUUUAAAAUGCGCUACACAAAUAGAUCAUAGUUGUGUGUGUGUAUAAUAUUGUAUGUAGAUUGCUAUAGCUAGGUAUAGUUCUUUGUCUUUGCGUCUCGAAAAGGUACUAAAGGAAUCUGCUGUUUUUCUGCCCUUUGCCAAGCCGCCUUUAAAGGGUUCUUUAUCUUGGUUAAUUGCCCUCCGUCCCAUCAUCACCAAGUAGGAAGGAGGUACAUACAUACAUAGUUCAUAGCUCAACUACAAAAUACUUUUACAAA
rnacentral:sRNA from 1 species